rnacentral:rRNA from 1 species
ACUCAAAGGAAUUGACGGGGGCCCGCACAAGCGGUGGAGCAUGUGGUUUAAUUCGAUGCAACGCGAAGAACCUUACCAGGGCUUGACAUCCUGCGAAUUCUGUGGAAACACAGGAGUGCCCUUCGGGGAGCGCAGAGACAGGUGGUGCAUGGUUGUCGUCAGCUCGUGUCGUGAGAUGUUGGGUUAAGUCCCGCAACGAGCGCAACCCUUGCUCUUAGUUGCCAUCACGUAAAGGUGGGCACUCUAAGGGGACUGCCGGUGACAAACCGGAGGAAGGUGGGGAUGACGUCAAAUCAUCAUGCCCUUUAUGUCCUGGGCUACACACGUGCUACAAUGGCUGGUACAGAGGGCAGCGAAGGGGUGACCUGUAGCUAAUCCCACAAAGCCGGCCCAAGUUCGGAUUGCAGGCUGCAAUUCGCCUGCAUGAAGCCGGAAUCGCUAGUAAUCGCGGAUCAGAAUGCCGCGGUGAAUACGUUCCCGGGCCUUGUACACACCGCCCGU